rnacentral:rRNA from 1 species
UACGUGAGGGGCGAACGUUGUUCGGUGUCACUGGGCUUAAAGGGUGCGUAGGUGGUUGCGUAAGUAAGGGGUGAAAUCCCUCGGCUUACCCGGGGAAUUGCAUUUUAUACUGCGUGGCUUGAGGACUAAAGGGGAAAAGGGAACUCCAGGUGUAGCGGUGAAAUGCGCAGAUAUCUGGGGGAAGGCCGGCGGCGAAGGCGCUUUUCUGGUUAGUACCUGACACUGAGGCACGAAAGCGUGGGGAGCAAACAGG